rnacentral:rRNA from 1 species
GAUGAACGCUGGCGGCGUGCUUAACACAUGCAAGUCGAACGGGAUCCACCGGGCUUUGCUUGGUGGUGAGAGUGGCGAACGGGUGAGUAAUGCGUGACCGACCUGCCCCAUACACCGGAAUAGCUCCUGGAAACGGGUGGUAAUGCCGGAUGCUCCAGUUGAUCGCAUGGUCUUCUGGGAAAGCUUUCGCGGUAUGGGAUGGGGUCGCGUCCUAUCAGCUUGACGGCGGGGUAACGGCCCACCGUGGCUUCGACGGGUAGCCGGCCUGAGAGGGCGACCGGCCACAUUGGGACUGAGAUACGGCCCAGACUCCUACGGGAGGCAGCAGUGGGGAAUAUUGCACAAUGGGCGCAAGCCUGAUGCAGCGACGCCGCGUGAGGGAUGGAGGCCUUCGGGUUGUAAACCUCUUUUAUCGGGGAGCAAGCGAGAGUGAGUUUACCCGUUGAAUAAGCACCGG